rnacentral:lncRNA from 1 species
CAUAGAAACAAGUAAGGCACAGAUUUUCACCAGCUGACUGUGUAUGUUUUGCAGGGCUGACGCAAGGUGGAACAGGCCUUUAUAUAUUACAAGCUUUGCUAACGUUUUAUAAUGAAACCUUGGUCUGAGUUCUUGGCUGAGCGGCGUGCCCAGGCUUGAGGAGGAAUCACAACGCGAUCCCUCGAGAAGCCAAAGCAUUCUUCUCAUCGCUCUCCACUGACUAGGUGAUCACUGACAUGCUAAAUAGUUUGGCUGGAAACCAUGGCUGCUCUCUCCUCCUUUUGAUCACAUACAGCUGGACAAGGAGGGGAACCCAGGACUCAAAAGCCCUAAACAACAGCUUAAAGGGGAAAGUUGAAGACCUUUCCUUCAGAGGUAAAGUUUUCUUCAGGAUGAAAAAUGGAAAAAAAAGCAGCUAACACUGCUGCCUAUACCAGACUUCAACUGCAUGAAACAUAACAUGGCAGCUUUGAUGAAAGAACAUUGUAUUUUUUAAUACAAAAGCGCAGCAAAGCAUCCAUAUCUGGCCAGAGACAACACACAAUUCUUAUUAGGACCUCUGAUUUACAAGAAGGGGACUGAAUAUUUUGACAUAUGAAGUGAUGAUAAAACAGCCUGCCACCUUCCAAGACAGAAGACAAAGUAACAGACUAAGCAGAUUCUGUGAAUAUCAGCAAGACUCACUUGGCUAUAAGUAGCCUUGCUCAGGAUUUAAAGUUUUGAGAAACACUAGAAUCUAAG